rnacentral:rRNA from 1 species
CUGGGGUGGAUUAGUGGCGAACGGGUGAGUAACACGUGAGUAACCUGCCCUUUACUUCGGGAUAAGCUUGGGAAACUGGGUCUAAUACCGGAUAUUCUGCGUGAUCGGAUGGUUGUGUAGGAAAGAUUUUUUGGUAAGGGAUGGGCUCGCGGCCUAUCAGUUUGUUGGUGGGGUGAUGGCCUACCAAGACGACGACGGGUAGCCGGCCUGAGAGGGCGACCGGCCACACUGGGACUGAGACACGGCCCAG